GACGAACGCUGGCGGCGUGCCUAACACAUGCAAGUCGAGCGGGGUUGAAGCGAGGGGUAACUCGGACUUCUACCUAGCGGCGGACGGGUGAGUAACGCGUGGGCAACCUGCCUCAAGGUUUGGGAUAACAGCUCGAAAGGGCUGCUAAUACCGGAUAUGCCUGUGGCCUCGCAUGGGGCUAUGAGCAAAGGGGAAACCCGCCUUGAGAUGGGCCCGCGUCCCAUCAGCUAGUUGGUGAGGUGAAGGCUCACCAAGGCGACGACGGGUAGCCGGCCUGAGAGGGUGACCGGCCACACUGGGACUGAGACACGGCCCAGACUCCUACGGGGGCAGCAGUGGGGGAUCUUGCACAAUGGGCGAAAGCCUGAUGCAGCGACGCCGCGUGAGCGAAGAAGGCCUUCGGGUUGUAAAGCUCUGUCUGGAGGGACGAAGAAAAUGAACGUACCUACCGGAGAAGCACGCUAACUACGUGCCAGCAGCCGCGGUAAUAUCACGUGUACU
rnacentral:rRNA from 1 species